rfam:TPA: Bos taurus chromosome 14, whole genome shotgun sequence.
UCCCUGAUAGUCCAGUGGCUAAGACUCCAUGCUCCUAACGCAGGGGGCCCAGGGUUCGAUCCCUGGUCAGGGAA